AUUGAACGCUGGCGGCGUGCUUAACACAUGCAAGUCGAGCGGUAGCAGGCGUAGCAAUACGUGCUGACGAGCGGCGAACGGGUGAGUAAUGCAUCGGAAUCUUCCUAGUAGUGGGGAACAACCUGGGGAAACUCAGGCUAAUACCGCAUACGACCUACGGGUGAAAGCAGGGGAUCGCAAGACCUUGCGCUAUUAGAUGAGCCGAUGUCGGAUUAGCUAGUUGGUGAGGUAAAGGCUCACCAAGGCGACGAUCCGUGGCUGGUCUGAGAGGAAGACCAGCCACACUGGAAAUGAGACACGGUCCAGACUCCUACGGGAGGCAGCAGUGGGGAAUAUUGGACAAUGGGGGCAACCCUGAUCCAGCGACGCCGCGUGUGUGAAGAAGGCCUGCGGGUUGUAAAGCACUUUUAGUGGGGAUGAAAAGUUCAGGCUUAAUACGCUUGGAUCUUGACCUAACCCAAAGAAAAAGCACCGGCUAACUCUGUGCCAGCCGCCGCGGUAAAAC
rnacentral:rRNA from 1 species